UUCUAUAGACCAGUAUGACGGCUAAAUGAGAACAAACCUGUCUCCUAUGACCCAUCAGUGAAACUGAUCUCUCAGUCCAAAAGCUGAAAUACACACACAAGACGAGAAGACCCUGUGGAGCUUAAAGCAACCUACUAAUUAAACACUAGUAAAAACUUUAAGUUGGGGCGACUUCGGAACAAAUAAAAACUUCCGAGCACAUGAACCACCACUUCCAACCAAGGCCAACAAGCCAAAGCAAAAAAUGACCCAGUCUCACUGAUCAACGAACCAAGUUACCCCAGGGAUAACAGCGCUAUCUUCUUCAAGAGUCCAUAUCGACAAGAAGGUUUACGACCUCGAUGUUGGAUCAGGACACCCAAAUGGUGCAGCCGCUAUUAAAGGUUCGUUUGUUCAACGAUUAACAGUCCUACGUGAUCUGAGUUAGACCGGAGA
rnacentral:rRNA from 1 species